AUUGAACGCUGGCGGCAUGCCUUACACAUGCAAGUCGAACGGCAGCACGGGAGCAAUCCUGGUGGCGAGUGGCGAACGGGUGAGUAAUGCAUCGGAACGUGCCCAGUCGUGGGGGAUAACUGCUCGAAAGAGCAGCUAAUACCGCAUACGACCUGAGGGUGAAAGCGGGGGACCGUAAGGCCUCGCGCGAUUGGAGCGGCCGAUGUCAGAUUAGGUAGUUGGUGGGGUAAAGGCCUACCAAGCCUGCGAUCUGUAGUUGGUCUGAGAGGACGACCAGCCACACUGGGACUGAGACACGGCCCAGACUCCUACGGGAGGCAGCAGUGGGGAAUUUUGGACAAUGGGGGCAACCCUGAUCCAGCAAUGCCGCGUGCAGGAAGAAGGCCUUCGGGUUGUAAACUGCUUUUGUACGGAACGAAAAAGCUUCUCCUAAUACGAGAGGCCCAUGACGGUACCGUAAGAAUAAGCACCGGCUAACUCUGUGCCAGCCGCCGCCGUAAUAC
rnacentral:rRNA from 1 species